GGAUGCGAUCAUACCAGCACUAAGGCAUCGGAUCCGUCAGAACUCCGAAGUUAAGCGUGCUUGGGCGAGAGUAGUUUGGGCGAGAGUAGUACAAGGAUGGGUGACCUCUCGGGAAGUCCU
rnacentral:rRNA from 1 species